rnacentral:rRNA from 1 species
CCUACGGGAGGCAGCAGUGGGGGAUAUUGCACAAUGGAGGAAACUCUGAUGCAGCGACGCCGCGUGAGGGAAGACGGCCUUCGGAUUGUAAACCUCUGUCUUUGGGGAAGAAAAUGACGGUACCAAAAGAGGAAGCUACGGCAAACUACGUGACAGCAGCCGCGGGAAUACGUAGGGAGCGAGCGUUGGCGGGAAUUACUGGGUGAAAGGGGAGCGUAGGCGGGCGUGAAAGUUGAAUGUAAAAUCUACCGGCUAAACUGGUAGUUGCGUUUAAUACUUGUUGUCUUGAGUUCAGUAGAGGCAGGCAGAAUUCCUAGUGUAGCGGUGAAAUGCGUAGAUAUUAGGAGGAACACCGAUGGCGAAGGCAGCCUGUUGGGCUUUAACUGACGCUGAGGCUCGAAAGCGUGGGGAGCAAACAGGAUUAGAUACCCUAGUAGUC